GUAAAUAUAAGUGAUAUGAUUAUUUAUCAUAUAGUAUUAAGUGGCUGAUUCUCAUGCGAUUAUUUUGACAUCAACCAAUAUACAAUAGGAUUUUAAACAAAUAUUCUUGCAUAGUGAAGCUUUAGUUAACAACGGACGCCUGGUUCAUUCGUUCAGAAAGUCUUAAAUAUCUAAUUCAGCUGCCAAUUAAAAUCCUAUUGAUAUUAAACGCAAAAGUUUAGAUGUGUAUUAUGAUGCUUAAUCUACUAGAUCGAUUUAGAUGAAAUUUGGGACACGAUACGCAUUAUUUAGAAAUUAUUAAUUGUAAAUGCAUUAUUUAGAAACAAAUUAUAAUGGAGAUGACAUUUACCUACGAUGACAUAAAAAAUUUCGUCUAAUUAUGAAAAUUGUUAUGCAGAAUCAAUUAGACUUGCUUAAGUUUCAACUCAAGCGGUUCAGUAGUUUUGUAGCAAACUAUCUCUCAAGACCGGACUGACAGACACAUUAAGGGUAAGUUUGAAAUAAUAAUAGACAAUUUGGAAAUGUGUAAAGGCCCCAAACGAAAAGAUUGUACCAUAUGGGAUAUGAAAGUUGAUAAUAAGAGGAUUCUCGUCUACAACCUAACAAUUACCCAAAACGUUGCACCACUAAAGGUAAAAGUGGUUAUUUCCUCUAAUGGGAAAGAAUUAGUGAGGCUGCAAAUGGCCAGAGUGUGCGAAAACGUAUUUAUGAAACCUCUUUUUACUUCAAUGUUCAAUGCUACAAAACAAUGCGUUAUUCCAAAAGGAUACUUUCACCACGAGUUGGACAUGCAAGAAAUAUUUCAACAGUACUACGGAGGGGAGUUUCUUCUCGGAAAAGCAGUGUUUAGAUCAGUUAUAAACAAUGACGAUUGUAACUUUUCGUGUUCUGUCAUAAACGUUACAUUUGCGCCAAAUAAAUCUUAAAAACAAAACAUACUUACUUUAUUGUACCUAUACUUAAUUAUCAUAGUUGGGCGAAUUGUUAACAUACC